rnacentral:rRNA from 1 species
UACGUAGGGCGCAAGCGUUGUCCGGAAUUAUUGGGCGUAAAGAGCUCGUAGGCGGUCUGUCGCGUCUGCCGUGAAAACCCGAGGCUUAACCUCGGGCUGGCGGUGGAUGACGGGCAGGACUAGAGGUAGGUAGGGGAGAAUGGAAUUCCUGGUGUAGCGGUGGAAUGCGCAGAUAUCGAGGAGGAACACCGGUGGCGAAGGCGGUUCUCUGGGCAUUACCUGACGCUGAGGAGCGAAAGUGUGGGGAGCGAACAGG